UACGUAGGGGCCUAGCGUUGUCCGGAAUUAUUGGGCGUAAAGAGCUCGUAGGCGGUUCGGUAAGUCGGGUGUGAAACCUCCAGGCUCAACCUGGAGUCGCCACUCGAUACUGCUGUGACUAGAGUCCGGUAGGGGAGCGUGGAAUUCCUGGUGUAGCGGUGAAAUGCGCAGAUAUCAGGAGGAACACCAGCGGCGAAGGCGGCGCUCUGGGCCGGAACUGACGCUGAGGAGCGAAAGCGUGGGUAGCAAACAGG
rnacentral:rRNA from 1 species